rnacentral:rRNA from 1 species
AUUGAACGCUGGCGGCAGGCCUAACACAUGCAAGUCGAGCGAGCGGCGGACGGGUGAGUAAUGUAUGGGGACUGCCCGAUCGAGGGGGAUAACUACUGGAAACGGUGGCUAAUACCGCAUACUAUCGGAUAACCCAUAUGGGAUUAGCUAGUAGGUGGGGUAAAGGCUCACCAAGGCCACGAUGCAUAGCCGAUCUGAGAGGGUGAUCGGCCACACUGGGACUGAGACACGGCCCAGACUCCUACGGAGGCAGCAGUGGGGAAUAUGGGACAAUGGGCGCAAGUCUGAGGCAGCCAUGCCGCGUGUGUGAAGAAGGCCUUAGGAUUGUAAAGUACUGUCAGCGGGGAGGCGGUACCCACAGAAGAAGCAACGGCUAACUCCGUGCCAGCAGCCGCGGUAAUUC